rnacentral:rRNA from 1 species
UACGAAGGGGGCUAGCGUUGCUCGGAAUUACUGGGCGUAAAGCGCACGUAGGCGGUCUUUUAAGUCGGGGGUGAAAUCCUGGAGCUCAACUCCAGAACUGCCUUCGAUACUGGAAGACUCGAGUCCGGGAGAGGUGGAGUGGAACUGCGAGUGUAGAGGUGAAAUUCGUAGAUAUUCGCAAGAACACCAGUGGCGAAGGCGGACUCACUGGCCCGGUACUGGACGCUGAGGUGCGAAAGCG